rnacentral:rRNA from 1 species
CAUAUCAAUAAGCGGAGGAAAAGAAACCAACAGGGAUUGCCCUAGUAACGGCGAGUGAAGCGGCAACAGCUCAAAUUUGAAAUCUGGCCCUCGGGUCCGAGUUGUAAUUUGCAGAGGAUGCUUUUGGCGCGGUGCCUUCCGAGUUCCCUGGAACGGGACGCCAUAGAGGGUGAGAGCCCCGUCUGGUCGGACACCAAGCCUCUGUAAAGCUCCUUCGACGAGUCGAGUAGUUUGGGAAUGCUGCUCUAAAUGGGAGGUAUAUGUCUUCUAAAGCUAAAUACCGGCCAGAGACCGAUAGCGCACAAGUAGAGUGAUCGAAAGAUGAAAAGCACUUUGAAAAGAGAGUUAAAAAGUACGUGAAAUUGUUGAAAGGGAAGCGCUCAUGACCAGACGUGGGCCCGUUUGAUCAACCCGGGUUCUCCCAGGUGCACUCUCUCGGGCCCAGGCCAGCAUCAGUUUGCCGCGGGGGACAAAGGCUUCGGGAAUGUGGCUCCCCUCGGGGAGUGUUAUAGCCCGCUGCGCAAUACCCUG